AACGAACGCUGGCGGCGUGCUUAACACAUGCAAGUCGAACGAGAAAUCGUAGCAAUACGGUGAGUAAAGUGGCGCACGGGUCCGUAACACGUGGAUAAUCUUCCUUUGGGCUGGGGACAACCUGUCGAAAGACGGGCUAAUACCUUAUAAGACCACGAGAUCGCAAGAUUUUGGGGUAAAAGGUAGGCCUCUAUUAUAAGCUAUCACCUAAAGAUGAGUCCGCGCACCAUUAGCUAGUUGGNGGGGUAAAGCUCACCAAGGCGACGACGGGUAGCUGGUCUGAGAGGAUGGCCAGCCACAUUGGGACUGAGACACGGCCCAGACUCCUACGGGAGGCAGCAGUGGGGAAUAUUGCGCAAUGGGCGAAAGCCUGACGCAGCGACGCCG
rnacentral:rRNA from 1 species